CGGUAGACCCAGGCGAAGACGCGCGGGUGGCGCCCGUCCGCCGUGCAGUAGGUGAUGCGCGGCAGCAGAUUGUUCAUUGUUAAUGCAUGGAAAUCCAACUGACAGCUGGGUACGGAGGCUGAAGCAGAAGAAUUUCCUGAGCCUAGGAUGCUGAAUUAAUGUAUUAGUACUACCUUGCACUUGAUGGAUCAGCUGGCCCUACUCAGAUCAAGAAACUGGCUCGUCUGAUCUAUCUGAUCCUGUGGCCACCCAGGAACUGACUGAGCACGAGAAGACAGGCCUGACUCCCUAAGAUUUCAUCUCUGACCAAUCAGCACUCCUGGCUCACUGGCCAAAUGUCAUUUUUGGGCUUAUAUCUAAAAUAUUAGGUCUCCCGUUGUUGUCUGCUGCUGGAACCUUUGGCCAAUCAAUGGUGGGUAAGUCCCACUGGUCCAAAGGAGACAGAAAAUGAACCCCCUGAGUGUGACCCCCCACUGGAUGUGACCUCUUUUUGGGAAAUCCUCAAAGCCUACAUCCUUCUAUGAGCUUCUGACAGCAGCAUCCUCAUGGAUAGACAGUGGAUCAACUCUAUGACCUGCAGAUAAAUUGAUGCCUUCCUCUUCAUAAGACUUUUCACAGACUGCUUAGAAUUGAAUCUUUUUUUUUUUUUUUUUUUUUGAGAUGGAGUCUCACUCUGUCGCCAGGCUGGAGUAUAGUGGCACGAUCUCAGCUCACUGCAACCUCCGCCACCCGGGUUCAAGUGAUUCUCCCACCUCAACCUCCCGAGUAGCUGGGGUUACAGGCGUGCACCGCCAUGCCCAGCUAAUUUGUAUUUUUAGUAGAGAUGGAGUUUCACCAUGUUGGCCAGGAUGGUCUCCAUCUCUUGACCUCGUGAUCUGCCCACCUCAGCCUCCCAAAGUGCUGGGAUUACAGGCGUGCGCCACCGUGCCUGGCCGAAUUCAAUCUUUUGAGUGCUUGCACUAUCUUCAUUAGCUCGUACCCCAACACAUUUCUUUUUUACCAUGGUUAUUGGGAAGCUCACAGUCAAGGCUGGUGUCCAACUGUGUGAUUAACUAAUCUUAGGUGUCUAUCACCAGUUUCCUGCUCCUUUUAUUUUAGCUGAGUUCCUUCCUUCCUUCCCUUCCUUCUUUCCUUCCUUCCUUUCCCCCUCUCCUCCCUCCCUCCUUCCUCCCUCUUCUCUUUCCUUCUUUUUUUUUUUUUUUUAGACAGAGUCUCACUCUGUCACCCAGGCUGAAGUGCAGCAGUGCCGCCAUAGCUCACUAUAACCUUAAAAGGGCUCAUGUGACCCUCCUGCUUUGGCUUCCCAAAGUGCUGGGAUUACAGGUGUAAGCCACUGUGCCUGGUCUCUCUCUCUCUCUCUCUGCCACUGUGCCUGGUCUCUCUCUCUCUCUCUGUCUUCAGAGUUUUGCUCUUGUUGCCCAAUGGUGCAAUCUCGCCUCCCUGCAACCUCCGCCUCCCUGCAACCUCUGCCUCCCGGGUUCAAGCGAUUCUCCUGCCUCAGCCUCCCAAGUAGCCGGGAUUACAGGCUUGCGCCACCAUGCCUGGCUAAUUUUGUAUUUUUUUAGUAGAGACGGGUUUUCACCAUGUUAGUCAGGCUGGUCUUAAACUCCUGAUCCCAAGUGAUCCACCAGUCUUGGCCUCCCAAAGUGCUGGGAUUACAGGCGUGAACCACUGCACCCGGCCCUGUAUAUGUGUAUGUAUGUAUGUAUUUAUUUAUUUUUUGAGACAGAGUCUCACUCUGUUGCCCAGGCUAGAGUGCAGUGGUGCAAUAUCAGCUCACUGCAACCUCUGCCUCCUGGGUUUAAGCAAUUCCUCCACCUCAGCCUCCCGAGUAGCUGGGAUUACAGGCGUGUGCCACCAUGCCUGGCUAAUUUUUUUUUGUAUUUUUAGUAGAGAUGGGGUUUCACCAUGUUGGCCAGGCUGGUCUCAAACUCCUGGCCUCAAGUGAUCCGCCUGCCUCAGCCUCCCAGAGUGCUGGGAUUACACAGGCGUGAGCCACUGCGACCAGCCCUAUUUAUUUUUAAUACAUCUAUCUUAUGAUGUGUUCCACUUAAUGAAGUUAUCUCAGAUUUUUUUUCACAAAUAGGUGGGGAUUAAAUCAUAAAAAGUCUCCCCUGUACCUUCCAUGAGGCCAGGGAGCACGUCCUGCACAUUACCCCUGUGUCCCGCCACGCAUCUGGGAGAGUACAUUGCAUAGGAUAAAUGCUCACUAAAAAUAUGUUCACUUUAUUAGAUAAUUCUUAUGUCAGGUGCUCUCCCAAGAGAACGUUCUGGAAGGAAACUGAGUGACCACCUGAUGCUGCUAUUAACAUGUUUUUCAUUUCCUGUUUCCUGUGGCACCUGUGGGCAAUGUCAGUGCAGGUGCUAAGAGGCCACUCUCAUACCUAUUUGGUCCCUGGACCUUGGCAAAUGCCUAAGAGGCAUUUACCCAGUGACUCACAGGGAAUUUUUGCUCCUCGGAGGGGAAAUCUGAAUUAAAUCUAAAGUGAAAUGCCCCCCAGUGGCAUUGUCCUUAGUAACUCUGUUUCUCCCAGGAAGCUCUGCCUCCUGCCUUAGAAUUUACCUCCCUUUCUUGAAGUCAGAGGCUCAUCUUUAACUUGUGAUUCAGUGAGGACAGCCUUCCAGGCUGGGAAUGGUUCCCUAGGGACAUCUGGCUGCAGCUGAAAUUGCCCAUCUCUCAUUGCUCCUAACAAGGUCCACAUGAUGUAAAUUUCAGACUGUCCCAGUAGGACUGUGCUCAGCAUAGCUAAUGAAGGAUUUCAGCCUUUGGCAAAAAAAAUGGAAGGGUUAUUUAAAACCAAACUGUGUCAUUUAAGAGUGAUGGCUUUAAUGAGCUCCCAGGGAACUCAUAAAAGGGCCCAGAGAAUAAAACAAGGAGGCCUAAAAUAGUCAGAACCUGUAAGCAAGGACCCCUAACUUAUUGCAGUGCAGCACUCUGCCUGUUUUAUUUUAAGGACCCGUUUUUGUUCUCUUCCUUGCUGUAACCUAAGGAUACAAGAAUUUUGAUUAUAUAUAUUUUUUAAAAAACAGGUUAGGUUGCACCCUUGCUGAUCCUCAAAAAGCUUUACUGGAAUGGAUACCAUCCCCAAAAUGAUGAAGUUUAAAGUUUUGGUUUGGCAUUUAGGGACCUACAGGAUCUGGCCUCAACCCUCCUUUUCAAUUACUUGCUCCUUGCUCUCUGUCGCACAUCCUGGGCUCUAGCUAUACUGGGCCAACUCUUGGUAGCUUUGUACCUUUGCUGUUUCUUCCCCCCUCUUCAUGGAAGGCCUUUCCUACUUCCAUCCCAGCCACUCCACCCUCCAUUCUGUUAACAGAACUCAAAUUCCUUCCCUGGUGGAAAUAAACAGCAUCUCCCUACUGUGGCACUUGGUUGUCCUAAUUUCACUGGACCUGGGGCAAUCUGUAACUGUCCAUGUCUACCUCCCCACAAGACCCUAACCAGUCAGAGGGAAGAGGCUGGCUAUAUAAGGUGUAUCUCCUAAUGCCCAGCCUAGAACCUUGGAUGUAGGAGGCUCUCUGUAAUUGUUGGUUGUGAAGUAAAUAGCAUGCUCUUUUUUUUUUUUUUUUUUUUUUUGAGAUGGAGUCUCACUCUGUUGCCCAGGCUGGAGUGCAAUGGCGCUAUCUCAGCUCACUGCAACCUGCGCCUCCUGGGUUCAAGUGAUUCUCCUGCCUCAGCCUCCCAAGUAGCUCGGAUUAUAGGCAUGUGCCACCAAGCCUGGCUAAUUUUGUAUUUUUAGUAGAGACGGGGUUUGUCUAUGUUGGUCAGACUGGUCUCGAACUCCCGACCUCCCGACUUCAGGCAAUCUGCCCGCCUCCGCCUCCCAAAGUGCUGGGAUUACAGGCGUGAGCCACAGCGCUUGGCCAUGCCCAGCUAAUUUUUUGUAUUUUUAGUAGAGACGGGAUUCCACCAUGUUGGCCAGGCUGGUCUCGAACUCCUGACCUCAGGUGAUCCACCUGCUUCGGCCUCCUACAGUGCUGGGAUUACAGGCGUGAGCCACCUCGCCUGGCCAUUUUUUUUUUAAAUUCUAGUUUUAUUAAUUCAAAAUAUGCUGUACAUUCACACUCAAAAGAUACAACAGAGUGAAAAGUCACCUUCUCUGUUCUCUAGCCACCCCAUUCCCUUCUAUGGAAAGAACCAAUUAUUAUCAGCUUUUUGUGAAUCCUUCUGGAGACAUGCAAUAUAUAUAGUAUACUCUUCUCUCUCCUUUUAAAAAUAAACGGGGUUCCUCUUUAGUUUUGCAGUUUGCUGUUUCACCUGACUAUGCACACAUACACAUAUUUAAAAAAUUUACUCAACCAACUGACUAUUGAUAACAUUUAGUUUACUUUCAUUAUUUUGUUAUUAAAAACAAUGUUGGGCCUGGAGGGACACGUUUUACAUACAUUGAAUCAGG
rnacentral:lncRNA from 10 species